AGUUUAAAUCUGGGGAAAUCAAACAUGCAACAAUUAGUGAACACUGACGACUAAAGGUUGUCCAUCAAAUGUCCAUCAAAGAUUGAUAAAUCAUAAAACAUUAUACAGCACAACACAACAUACUAAUAAUCUAAUUAAUAGACUUCUAUAUUUAUACAAUAUAUAAUCCCUCUAUAUCCCUUUCAGUAGGUCUACGAUACAAAAUCCCUCUUUGUAAUUGUUAAAUGUUCUUGUUCCAAGAACAGUAGAAAACAGUAAUGAGGUACAGCAGAAAUACAGUAAUGAGGUACAGUAGAAAUACAGUAAUGAGGUACAGUAGAAAUACAGUAAUGAGGUACAGUAAAAAUACAAUUGUGACGUAGAGUAAAUUUCAACAUUACUCACUGUGUUAAUCAUGUGGUGUUUAACACUAGAGGGAGAACAAACACCAGGGAGGGAGGGUAGAGAGAGGGUAGAGGGAGAACACACACCAGGGAGGGAGGGGAGAGAGAGGGUAGAGGGAGAACACAGACCAGGGAGGGAGGGUAGAGAGAGGGUAGAGGGAGAACACACACCAGGGAGGGAGGGUAGAGAGAGGGUAGAGGGGAACACAGACCAGGGAGGGAGGGUAGAGAGAGGGUAGAGGGAGAACACACACCAGGGAGGGAGGGUAGAGAGAGGGUAGAGGGAGAACACAGACCAGGGAGGGAGGGGAGAGGAUAGAGGGAGAACACAGACCAGGGAGGGAGGGUAGAGAGAGGGUAGAGGGAGAACACAGACCAGGGAGGGAGGGUAGAGAGAGGGUAGAGGGAGAACACACAGACCAGGGAGGGAGGGUAGAGAGAGGGUAGAGGGAGAACACAGACCAGGGAGGGAGGGUAGAGAGAGGGUAGAGGGAGAACACAGACCAGGGAGGGAGGGUAGAGAGGAUAGAGGGAGAACACAGACCAGGGAGGGAGGGUAGAGAGGAGG
ensembl:lncRNA